AAGUUAAAAUGUCAUCUAUUUGUACUAUUAAAAACUGGGUGAUUGAUAGAAUAACCAAAUAGUGAAAUGUGACAUGUCACGUGUACCUUGUGUUGAUGUACAAUGACGAGUUUUUAACUAUAAAAUUGGAUGGAAUUUUUAGUA
rnacentral:pre_miRNA from 1 species